AUUGCCUCAGUAACGGCGAGUGAAGCGGCAAGAGCUCAAAUUUGAAAGCUGGCCCCCUCGGGGUCCGCAUUGUAAUUUGCAGAGGAUGCUUCGGGAGUGGCCCCCAUCUAAGUGCCCUGGAACGGGCCGUCAUAGAGGGUGAGAAUCCCGUCUGGGAUGGGGUGUCCACGCCCGUGUGAAGCUCCUUCGACGAGUCGAGUUGUUUGGGAAUGCAGCUCUAAAUGGGUGGUAAAUUUCAUCUAAAGCUAAAUACUGGCCGGAGACCGAUAGCGCACAAGUAGAGUGAUCGAAAGAUGAAAAGCACUUUGAAAAGAGAGUUAAACAGCACGUGAAAUUGUUGAAAGGGAAGCGCUUGCGACCAGACUCGCCCACGGGGUUCAGCCGGCAUUCGUGCCGGUGUACUUCCCCGCGGGCGGGCCAGCGUCGGUUUGGGCGGCCGGUCAAAGGCCCUUGGAAUGUAACGCCCCCCGGGGCGUCUUAUAGCCAAGGGUGCCAUGCGGCCAGCCCGGACCGAGGAACGCGCUUCGGCUCGGACGCUGGCAUAAUGGUCGUAAGCGACCCGUCUUGAAACACGGACCAAGGAGUCUAACAUCUACGCGAGUGUUCGGGUGUCAAACCCGUGCGCGCAGUGAAAGCGAACGGAGGUGGGAACCCCUCGGGGCGCACCAUCGACCGAUCCUGAAGUCUUCGGAUGGAUUUGAGUAAGAGCGUAGCUGUUGGGACCCGAAAGAUGGUGAACUAUGCCUGAAUAGGGCGAAGCCAGAGGAAACUCUGGUGGAGGCUCGCAGCGGUUCUGACGUGCAAAUCGAUCGUCAAAUUUGGGUAUAGGGGCGAAAGACUAAUCGAACCAUCUAGUAGCUGGUCUGC
rnacentral:rRNA from 1 species